rnacentral:lncRNA from 1 species
CAGUAAACCACAUACCGAUGAAAAGGCAGCAUUUUCUAGCUAACAAAACAGUUUGCGGUGCCAAGGGACAGGGAAGUCUUUUUUUCCAGCAAGGUUUACACAGUCCAAGCAGUCGGGGGAAGGACUGUAAUUCCAGGAAACUCAGCUACAAGAAUUUGACAUUUUAACAGGAACCAGCUAGCAUUGCAACCUUGAGAGGCGACAGCCUGCUACAGAGAAGAGGAAGAAGAACCAAGACAGAUCCAAAGAAAGGAUGCUGCCACCACGCUGACUUCUGGUUAGACCACAUCAUACUCACGAAUAUUCUGAGUCCAUUGCAGAGUCUUGCACACAAGAAAAGCAACAUGUGAAUGAAUGAAAAACGAAGCUAUGACUUUUUGGACGGUGUCCUUGGACAGAGAAGAAUGGAGGCAGGAUACAGAAUAGAAAGCCAAGGAAUGUUCAAGAAGUCACGUGGGAAAAGCAAUAUGAAAGCCAAAGUUGGAGAAAUUUUACCCUGGACAACGUUGAGAAGAUUCUUGGAGGGGCACUCAGAAGGCGUGACAAGACGAAGGCUCCCUCCAAGAGCUCUCGUAGAGCGCUCACCAAGACGUGAGGAGACACCACUUGCCCAGGCUGCAAGCGCGAGGGCUCUCACGGCCGCGGAAGUCCCCCAGGAUCUCCGAGCUCCACCCACCAUUUCGGUGCAGGGGCACUCGCGACCGCAGGGCUUGGCCGGAGCAGUUUCCGGGCACAUCCCUCCAGUGGCUCUUCUACACCGCCGUCGGAGAGAGGACCCAGCGGGCAAGACCCCUGCCUGUCCCGCGCGCGCUCAAACUCUUGACUUCCGCUCUGCAUCCCUGGUCCCUGCCCUGUCCCUCGCCCUUGGGAGCAUCCACUUAUCCUUCGGGGACCUCACGUGCCUGAGCACAGGGGUCCUCGAGGACUAGCCGGGGUGACCGGGCGUGGGAGGGCGGUCGGAGCUGGGAACGCGCAGCAGUGUCCGGGGUGAGAGAGCCUCCCGACCCCUGGGCCAGGGGAGGGACACGGAGAGAAAGUCCGUAGGAAGGAGAUGGACACAGAAUUGGGAGACUCUGGGGGUGGGGGGUGGGGAUUUACCCCUUGUGGUAAGAG